UACAGAGGGUGCGAGCGUUGUCCGGAAUCACUGGGCGUAAAGGGCGCGUAGGCGGUCUGCUAAGCGUGUGGUGAAAGCUCGGGGCUCAACCCCGAGUCGGCCGUGCGAACUGGUGGACUCGGGCAUGUCAGAGGCAGGCGGAAUUCCGGGUGUAGCGGUGGAAUGCGUAGAGAUCCGGAAGAGCACCGGUGGCGAAGGCGGCCUGCUGGGACGUGGCUGACGCUGAGGCGCGACAGCGUGGGGAGCAAACAGG
rnacentral:rRNA from 1 species